AUCUAUCAAUCCUUGGGUGGAGUUUUUUUUCCCCCGUCUCCACAAGGCAACUAUUUGCCCGGGACACGUACGUGAACCUCCUCAAAUUGGCGCACUAAUCCUAAAAGGAGCCAUGAAGUGUUAAACGGUAGAAACGGAGAGAGCGGCGCUCAGAUACCCGCACGCUGGGAGAGAGGGAGGAAACAGCGCUGCUCCAAUGCGUCUGUGCAACACAGACUGAAGAGAGAGAAAAAAAAAAAAAAACUUAUCGACUCACAAAACCUGAACCUGCGCUGCGCAAUUAGUGCGAGAAAAUUCACUUUUUCCUCCGGUUUUGAAGAAAAUAAAUAAAGAAAUCAAGCUGGCUCAGUGCGUGUCUCAGCAGCCCACUUUGACAGGUGCUCCUCACCCCCUUUGGAGGACUGUCAACAGCAAGAGGAUGGCAUCAGAGCUGGCAAUGAGCAACUCCGACCUGCCCACCAGUCCCCUGGCCAUGGAAUAUGUUAAUGACUUCGAUCUGAUGAAGUUUGAAGUGAAAAAGGAGCCGGUGGAGCCCGAUCGCAGCAUCAACCAGUGCAGCCGCCUGGUCGCCGGGGGAUCCCUAUCUUCCACCCCGAUGAGCACGCCUUGCAGCUCGGUUCCCCCUUCUCCAAGCUUCUCGGCGCCCAGUCCGGGAUCAGGGAGCGAACAGAAGGCGCACUUGGAGGAUUUCUACUGGAUGACCGGGUACCAACAGCAGUUGAACCCCGAAGCUCUGGGUUUUAGCCCGGAGGACGCCGUAGAGGCGCUGAUCAGCAGCAGUCAUCAGCUCCAGACCUUCGAUGGCUAUGCCAGAGGGCAGCAGUUCGGCGGCGCAGCCGGCGCGGGGGGCGCAAUGGCCGGGGAGGAGAUGGGAUCAGCGGCCGCAGUGGUGUCCGCGGUUAUCGCUGCAGCCGCAGCUCAGAACGGGGCUCCCCACCACCACCACCAUCAUCACCACCACCACCACACAGGGGCACACCACCCCUCCUCCGGGUCUCAGUCCAGCGGCGGCCCGGGGGGAAACCACCAACACAUGCGCUUGGAAGAGCGGUUCACGGACGAGCAGCUGGUGACCAUGUCGGUGCGGGAACUGAACCGGCAGCUGCGGGGGGUCAGCAAGGAAGAGGUGAUCCGUCUGAAACAGAAGAGGAGGACGCUAAAGAACAGAGGCUAUGCCCAGUCCUGUCGGUACAAGCGGGUCCAGCAGCGGCACGUUCUGGAGGGAGAGAAGACGCAACUCAUGCAGCAGGUGGACCACCUCAAGCAGGAGAUCUCCCGGCUGGCCAGGGAGAGGGACGCCUACAAGGAGAAAUACGAGAAGCUGAUCAGCACCGGCUUCAGAGAAAACGGAGGAUCCAGCAGCGAUAACAACCCUUCUUCCCCGGAGUUUUUCAUGACGUCAAGAAAAUUCCUCCAUCUGUGAUAGAGAGCUGUGCCCUCUCGGCCCCGCCACCCUGGAGUCUGAGACUUCAAACUUGCAGAUGAAACCUCAUCUUUCUUGCCAAGGAUUACCGCUGGUUGGAGUUGGGUUUCUAGCUAUGAUCCAGAGACCAAAAAAGCAGAGUUUAGCAAAGAGUUCUAUAUUGCCAAGCCUGAAGGCAGCUCAUCAGUGUUUGUGAAAGUGAUGAACCCCAUCCUGUCCUCCUCUUUCCUGAGCCCGAGAGUGAGCAGCAGGCGUUCCCAGCAGCACGACGCAGCAGACCAGGAGGGAGGGAUGAAGUUAUUGACUCCACUUUGAUUUAACCUCUCCUGCCUGAUCCUCAGAAGCUCGCAGACACAUGCAGAUUUGGGAAUUCUCAAAAUACCAGCCGCCUUCUAAGAGAUGAGCAUGUAAAAGAUGCCAUUCAGAAUAUACUACUGGCUUCAGAUCCUUUUUAUUUUGGUGAAAGUGGCUAUACCACAGUGUAGAAAUGAAGAUGCUGCUUUUAAAAUUUUACAAGUAUACACGUUUGUAGCUAAUAAUCAAAGGUGGGAAUUCUUUACUGUGCAAAUUCUUUUAAUUUAUUGUUAAUUUCUAACAUUUUACUU